rnacentral:rRNA from 1 species
GGGGCAGCAUGAACUUAGCUUGCUAAGUUUGAUGGCGACCGGCGCACGGGUGAGUAACACGUAUCCAACCUGCCGAUGACUCGGGGAUAGCCUUUCGAAAGAAAGAUUAAUACCCGAUGGCAUAGUUCUUCCGCAUGGUGGAACUAUUAAAGGAUUUCGGUCAUCGAUGGGGAUGCGUUCCAUUAGGUUGUUGGCGGGGUAACGGCCCACCAAGCCUUCGAUGGAUAGGGGUUCUGAGAGGAAGGUCCCCCACAUUGGAACUGAGACACGGUCCAAACUCCUACGGGAGGCAGCAGUGAGGAAUAUUGGUCAAUGGACGAGAGUCUGAACCAGCCAAGUAGCGUGAAGGAUGACUGCCCUAUGGGUUGUAAACUUCUUUUAUACGGGAAUAAAGUGAGGCACGUGUGCCUUUUUGUAUGUACCGUAUGAAUAAGGAUCGGCUAACUCCGUGCCAGCAGCCGCGGUAAUACGGAGGAUCCGAGCGUUAUCCGGAUUUAUUGGGUUUAAAGGGAGCGUAGGCGGACGCUUAAGUCAGUUGUGAAAGUUUGCGGCUCAACCGUAAAAUUGCAGUUGAUACUGGGUGUCUUGAGUACAGUAGAGGCAGGCGGAAUUCGUGGUGUAGCGGUGAAAUGCUUAGAUAUCACGAAGAACUCCGAUUGCGAAGGCAGCCUGCUGGACUG